rnacentral:tRNA from 1 species
GCGUGUGUUCGGUUGAUUCGGAUUUAGGUCCUGACGGUAGCAAUACUGUGCGGGUUCGAGUCCCGCCCCGCGCACCA